GACGAACGCUGGCGGCGUGCUUAACACAUGCAAGUCGAACGGAAAGGCACUGCGUUUGUGGGGUGCUCGAGUGGCGAACGGGGGAGUAACACGUGAGUAACCUGCUCUUGACUUUGGGAUAACUUCAGGAAACUGGGGCUAAGACCGGAUAGGAGAUGCUGCUGCAUGGUGGGGGGUGGAACGUUUCGGCGGGUGGGGAUGGACUCGCGGCUUAUCGGCUUGUUGGUGGGGUAGUGGCUUACCAAGGAUUUGACGGGUAGCCGGCCUGGGAGGGUGAACGGGGACAUUGGGCCUGCGAUACGGCCCAGUGUCCAACGGGAGGCAGUAGUGGCGAAUAUUGUCCAGUCGGCGGGAGCGUGUGGCGGCGGCGUUGGGUUCGUGAUGCCGGUUUUUGGGGUGUGAACCGCUUUAGCCUGUUACGACGCGGUAGUGACGGUAAUCGGUAAAUAAGCACCGGCUAACUUCGUG
rnacentral:rRNA from 1 species